GUGUCAGCAGCCGCGGUAAUACGAAGGACCCAAGCGUUAUCCGGAUUUAUUGGGUUUAAAGGGUGCGUAGGCGGACUUGUAAGUCAGUGGUGAAAUCCUGCGGCUUAACUGCAGAACUGCCAUUGAAACUGCUUGUCUUGAGUACAUUUGAAGCGGGCGGAAUGUGUCAUGUAGCGGUGAAAUGCAUAGAUAUGACACAGAACACCGAUUGCGAAGGCAGCUCGCUAAACUGUAACUGACGCUGAGGCACGAAAGCGUGGGUAGCAAACAGGAUUAGAAACCCCAGUAGUCC
rnacentral:rRNA from 1 species